rnacentral:rRNA from 1 species
AGAGUUUGAUCCUGGCUCAGGAUGAACGCUGGCGGCAGGUCUGACACAUGCAAGUCGAACGGUAAGGGAGCAAUCCCCUAGAGUGGCGAACGGCUGAGUAACACGUAGGAAUCUACCCCGAGGUCUGGGAUAACGAACCGAAAGGUCCGCUAAUACCGGAUACAUCAGUAAUGAGGAAAGAUUUAUCACCUCGGGAGGAGCCUGCGGCGUAUUAGCUUGUUGGUGGGGUAAUGGCCUACCAAGGCUGUGAUGCGUAGCUGGUCUGAGAGGACGAUCAGCCAGACUGGGACUGAGACACGGCCCAGACUCCUACGGGAGGCAGCAGUUCAGAAUCUUGCACAAUGGACGAAAGUCUGAUGCAGCCAUGCCGCGUGUGCGAAGAAGGCCUUCGGGUCGUAAAGCACUGUCAGAGGGAAAGAUCAUGACGGUACCCUCAAAGGAAGCCACGGCUAAUUACGUGCCAGCAGCCGCGGUAAUACGUAAGUGGCGAGCGUUAUCCGGAAUUACUGGGCGUAAAGCGUUCGUAGGCGGUGCAGAAAGUUGGGUUUGAAAGCCCGGGGCUCAACUCCGGACCCGGAUCCAAAACUUCUGCGCUUGAGCAUAUCAGGGGGCAGUGGAAUUCCCGGUGUAGCGGUAAUAUGCGUAGAUAUCGGGAGGAACACCAGUGGCGAAGGCGACUGCCUGGGGUAUUGCUGACGCUGAGGAACGAAGGCUAGGGUAGCGAACGGGAUUAGAUACCCCGGUAGUCCUAGCGGUAAACGAUGGGCACUAGGUGUCAGGGGCUUCGACCCCCUUGGCGCCGCCGCUAACGCAUUAAGUGCCCCGCCUGGGGAGUACGGCCGCAAGGUUGAAACUCAAAGGAAUUGACGGGGGCCCGCACAAGCAGUGGAGCAUGUGGUUUAAUUGGAUGCUACGCCAAGAACCUUACCAAGACUUGACUUCCCAGUGUAAUCCUUUAGAAAUAGAGGACCCCUUCGGGCACUGGUGACAGGUGGUGCAUGGUUGUCGUCAGCUCGUGCCGUGAGGUGUUGGAUUAAGUUCCGCAACGAGCGCAACCCUCGUGUUUAGUUGCCAUCAUUAAGUUGGGCACUCUAGACAGACUGCCGGCGUCAAGCCGGAGGAAGGUGGGGAUGACGUCAAAUCAUCAUGCCCCUUACGUCUUGGGCUACACACGUGCUACAAUGGGCGAUACAACGGGUUGCCACACCGCGAGGUGGAGCGAAUCCUUCAAAGUCGUCCUCAGUUCGGAUUGCAGGCUGCAACUCGCCUGCAUGAAGCUGGAAUUGCUAGUAACCGUGCAUCAGCAUGGCGCGGUGAAUACGUACCCGGGCCUUGUACACACCGCCCGUCACACCACGAAAGCAGGCAACACCCGAAGUCCGUGAGCUAACCCGCAAGGGAGGCAGCGGCCGAAGGUGGGGUCAGUGAUUGGGGUGAAGUCGUAACAAGGUA